rnacentral:rRNA from 1 species
ACGCUCGACACCUACGGGGGGCAGCAGUGGGGAAUAUUGCACAAUGGGGGAAACCCUGAUGCAGCGACGCCGCGUGGAGGAAGAAGGUCUUCGGAUUGUAAACUCCUGUUGUUGGGGAAAAAGAGGAUGGUACCCAACAAGGAAGUGACGGCUAACUACGUGCCUGCAGCCGCGGUAAUCUGAGCGGGCUGGCAAGGC